UCCUCCAUCAUCUGCAAGACAGUCGGCUGAAGUUGUGAAGACUUGAAGAGAUCACUGUAAUCAUGCUGAAAGAAGUAUUGGUGCUGGGAUGCCUCCUGAGCCUCGUUCUGGCUCAGCCUUGGGACAUGGAGCACAAACGACUUGCUCGGUCUGACUCCGGUUCUAACUCUAACUCAAAUUCCAAUGAGGUUUCCACACCAGUAGUCAACCAGCUUUUUCAGCAACAGUUGCUCCAGCUCCUUCUGAACCUCCUCAGCCAACGAUUGACCACUCCUGCCACCACUCCUGCAACAACCACAACUGCAGCUACAACUACUGCAGCAACUAAUACACCUGCAAGAACAAGCUAAGCUAAAGAGCUUUAGUCUGCAUAUCAGCUCGGUUGGACAAUGUCUCAACCACAGAGUUUUCACGAAUUAUUCUUUAAUUGUGUUUAUUCUCUGUGUAAUCUGCUGAAUAAAACUCAUUCUUUGAAAUAAUCAACACGAUUAUUUUGCUUU